ACGAACGCUGUCGGCGUGCUUAACACAUGCAAGUCGCACGGAAAGGCCCUGCUUUUGUGGGGUGCUCGAGUGGCGAACGGGUGAGUAACACGUGAGUAACCUGCCCUUGACUUUGGGAUAACUUCAGGAAACUGGGGCUAAUACCGGAUAGGAGCUCCUGCUGCAUGGUGGGGGUUGGAAAGUUUCGGCGGUUGGGGAUGGACUCGCGGCUUAUCAGCUUGUUGGUGGGGUAGUGGCUUACCAAGGCGUUGACGGGUAGCCGGCCUGAGAGGGUGACCGGCCACAUUGGGACUGAGAUACGGCCCAGACUCCUACGGGAGGCAGCAGUGGGGAAUAUUGCACAAUGGGCGGAAGCCUGAUGCAGCAACGCCGCGUGCGGGAUGACGGCCUUCGGGUUGUAAACCGCUUUCGCCUGUGACGAAGCGUGAGUGACGGUAAUGGGUAAAGAAGCACCGGCUAACUACGUG
rnacentral:rRNA from 1 species